rnacentral:lncRNA from 1 species
ACAGAGCUGGCGCCUGCCCUCUGGCUCUCCACUGAUACCAUCUCAGUCAUCUCAUCAGCCAGAAGAGACACUCGCUCCACAACACUGCAAUGCACAGAAAAUACAGCAGAGCGAGGCCUGACCCUCGGCCGCCAGUCUGAGAAGCCUCAAGCUCUCCCUCAUCCGCGCUCUGAAGCCCCUCUGCAUGGCCUGCUUGGCCUUCAUCUCCACCAGCAGGAUCUGCAUCUGACUGUCCAGCAGCUGAAUCAUCUGAUUGGCCAUCGCUCUGCGCCGCACCAUCUCCUGCUCUACUUGCCUCUCCAAACCUUCGCCUUUCCCUCCAAACAUCCUCCAGCCAGGGUGGAGCUCCUUCAGCUUCCCCUGCAGCCCCUGGUAGAGUUGCUUCACCUACAUCGGUGCAUGAUUACUACUCAAUAAGACAAGCUGACAAAAGAAUGCUGUAAUUCACACUUUACCAGAGGGAAGUAAUAAUUCACUACAUACAGUAGUAUCAUCGUACUGAACAGUGAAACAAGAGAGACGGUUAAUUACAACGGAGCAAUUCAAUAUGGAUAAAAACAUGUUUGAACUGAUAUUUGAAGCUCUGAUAUUUGUUCCCGUUGAGUCUCACCUCUCCUUUGAGCUGUCCAAGGCGAACGGUGACCGACACGCUGUGCUUGAGCAGGAUUUCAUAGAAGGUGCUGGAACUGAAGGCUUCCAGAUCCACUUGCUCUUCAUAGUCCCAGAAUUCACUCGAUACCAGAGCCACUGCUGUGGGAAAUAAAGGAAUAAAGGAAAGGAAUAAAAUGGAAAAUAAUGG